AUUGAACGCUGGCGGCAGGCCUAACACAUGCAAGUCGAGCGAGCGGCGGACGGGUGAGUAAUGUAUGGGGACUGCCCGAUAGAGGGGGAUAACUACUGGAAACGGUAGCUAAUACCGCAUACUAUCGGAUAACCCAUAUGUGAGUAGCUAGUAGGUGAGGUAAUGGCUCACCUAGGCGACGGUCCCUAGCUGGUCUGAGAGUAUGAUCAGCCAAAUUGGGAUUGAGACACGGCCCAGACUCCUACGGAGGCAGCAGUGGGGAAUAUUGCACAAUGGGCGCAAGCCUGAUGAAGCCAUGCCGCGUGUAUGAAGAAGGCCCUAGGGUUGUAAAAUACUUUCAGUCGGGAGGCGUUACCGACAGAAGAAGCACCGGCUAACUCCGUGCCAGCAGCCGCGGUAAUAC
rnacentral:rRNA from 1 species